CUGGGCGGGGUGCGAGACAAAGAGGGCACACGGUAUCAAACGCGCUCAGAGUCUCCUUCCCCAUCCCCCUCAACUUCCACGUCCAAUUCCGCAACCCAAUCCAUUGAAGCCACCGUGGUCGUCGAUCUCUACGCCCGGCCGGUCCUCCUCCUCCUUAUUCCCAAUCUCCAUGUCCGCCCUUGGGAGUCACCUACUGAUGCGCCCCACCUCCCUGCACCUGCCAUGGCCAGGCCGCCGCCAGACCUGAUGCGGUUGAUGUCCGCCGCCGUGUCCUGCUCGACAACCGCAAAGUUUGGUCCUGCUCGCCUCGGGUACGGAGAAAUCUGCGGUUGCCCUCCACGGCGGCCUGGGCGACCACGCAUUGCGCGUCCUCGACCCCCAGCACAAUAUAGGGUAUAAUUUGCGUGUCUGAAACAUAUGAUGUAUCGCAGAGGAGGCGAUGCGCCGGCAGGUUCAAGUGGGUCACGCUCUGGAUCGGCACUGGCAUGAGCUCUGACGCUGCGAGAAUCAUAGACUCGGCAAGCAGCAGCUGGCUUUGGCCAGGACGGAGAAAGCAGGUCAGUGACCAUGGCUGAGCCUUUCCCCCCUUCCCUGGUUCGUUCCUAUUCUUGAGCUUGGCUGUGUAUUCGAGGUUUAGUGCCUAUUUCUAAAUCGGCGGUUGAAAUGAGCCCUGUAGAUGAUUUGAGGAUUGAUUUUAAGGUGAGCCAUGGGUUCUUAGAUCGUACCUAUGACAAAUUUGCGAGUUUGAGGUUUCCACAUAGAUAUAUCCAUCUCUUUCAGGGCAUCUCCAGCGGCGCGACGCAUUUCGGACGCCCAAAAUUUCCGCGGACGUCCGUUUGCGUCGCCUCGCCUGGCGCGUCCGUUUGCGUCUGGGGCUGGCUCCAGCAGGGCGACGCAUUUUCGGCGCAAGCCAGAAUUCAAAAAAGAGGAACUAGCGACAACUUUGCACGAAAUUUUACAGCCGCAAAUUGAGGGCUGAAACAAGUUCAUCACAAUUUGCACAUGUCACGGCGCAAAGGGGAGUCCAAAAGGGGCACAACAAGGCCUGAACAGCAAUAAAAAUGUCCAAAAGGAGACCAAGGUGCUGGGCGCAUGGCGCCGGCGAUCAGGCGUCUCGCGCGCGGAUUUCGGCGCGCCUCUUGAUGAACCAGGCCCUGGUGUCGUCGUCGACGUUGCUCAAGUCGGCUAGCAUGAUCCUAGUGUCCUCUGCAAGGAUCUUGGCCUUGGCGUCCAUCCUCCUAGCCUCGGCGUCAAGCAAUUUGGCCUCGGAGUUUGCCUUCUGGACCUCAAUUACCUCUUUCGCGAGGUUGUGGUAGAUGGCAGCUGCGGCCUCUUUUUCCAGACGCCUCUUCUCGUCCCUAGCAGCCAAGGCGACACGAUUGUCGGCCAUGAUCUUCUCCAUGCUCUGGGUGAACGCAAUGGCCUGCGCCUCCCGGACAAGAUCGGCCUUGGUAGCCUUAUGGCCUCGUGGACGAGGUGGAAGGGCUGGACGGCCUUGAUCGUCGUCUUCGCCGUCGAGGUUGAUCGCUGUCACAUUCCUCACAGCUUCGUUGUAGGACGCAAAGCUUGUCAUCCACUUGUUGGAGUUCUUGAGCACGUCCCAGCAAUGGACCAUAUGGAAGCCCUUCUUAUGCGUCGCCCUGAACUUCUCCAAGGCGCGGGAUACCUGCAAUCGUAGCCGCCAAUGAUGUACAUACAAUGAUGCAAAUAGUGUAGAAUGAUGAUGGUUGUAUCGUGUUUACCACUGUCAUGACACCAGCGCCGCUUACGGGGUUGUUAAUAGCAUGUUGGACCGCUGAGCAGAACUUGCUUGUCUCUUGUUUGAUGUUGUUCCAUCUUUUUCGGAGGGACUCUUCCGUCCGAGGGCUUGUGAUAUGGUAGGGCGGGUGCAUCCUGGUCUCGUUGUACUGCUGCAAGACCUUGGCCCAAUAGACCUUGCCCUUUUGCUGCGCGCCAUUAAUACAAUCAUGGCUCGUUGCCAGCCACGCUUCACACAAACACUUAUCCUCGUCGUCGACGUAGCCUUGUGUCCUGCGGCUCUCCCCCUUCUUCUUCGUAGCAAUGUCAGGUUGUGUUGGCGCAUCGUCGAAGUCGUCGACGGACACGGGUGUUGGCUGCGUUUGCUGGGUGGCGAACAACCGUGCGGUUUCGAUGUCCUCCGCAUCUUGCGCUGCUGCCCAGUCAUCAUGCGAGCCUGUCCCGGCCCGAUCAUUGCGAACGAAGCCGCCGCCGUAGAUAAUUUCCUGGAUGUCUGAAUCAUGGCGGUCCUUCCAAUAGUCCUACGAACGACCGGACAUCAGACGCAUGAUACACGACACUCGCACACAUUGACAGAGCUCACGUACCGGGUCAUCCAUCGUCGGGGCAGGCAGCGCCAUUUCGUCGAACAGGAUGCGGGGCUGCGGCAUGCUCUCCUCCGGCACCUGGCGCGUCUUCUGUGUCGCGCCCGGGCUGGAGUCACCGCUUCUAGGCGUAUGGUUGAGGUCGGGAACCGCCGCCCCGGUCAACUUCACCGGCGGCAGGCCGGAGGCGAACCGCGAUGCCGCGUGGGCCUGCAAGGGAGCGGGAGUUCCAGGGCACAGCUGGGAACUUACCGAGCUCACCGACGAGGCUGGAGGCGCGACGCCGGCGAUCCCCUCUCUCUUGACGAGCAUGUAGCCCUCCGCUAAGGUCGGAUGGAGGGCUACUUGCGCGACGCCGGCUUUGAUCUGCAUCUGCCAGGCCUGCUGGUUGGCGGCCGCGGCAGUCUUGAUCUUCUGGUUCUUGCGCCGGCCGCGACGCUUCGCGGCCUCCAUGAUUUUCUCCUCCGGGGAGAGCACCUUCUUUGCCGCCUUCGGCUUUGCCUCCCGGGCACCGCCGGUGGCGGCCCGCUUUGAUUCCGCCGGAGCUGCAGCCUCCAUUGUGGCUAUGGUCGUGGCUACGGGGGAGUGUGGGGCGGCGGCGGGUGCGAGGGUUUGCUCCGCAUCCAUGGUGGUGGCUGCGGCGGCGAGGACGUCCAUCGCUUCUGGACUGCUCGCGCCGGUCUAGUUUGCAAUUUCGCGCGGGGAAUGGCCAGUGGCGGGAAUAAUAUCGGCCUCCUGCCAUUGACGCGCGGGUCCUACGUCUUUUUCGGCGCACACUCCGCGCGACCGCCGAGCGUCCGCGGAGACGCAAACCUGGCGCAUAUUUGGGCCAGGUUUGCGUCUCUGCGGACGGCCCGGUCACUUUGCGUCGCCCCGCUGAAGCAGGCCCCAGACGCAUUUGCAGUCAUGGCGGACGAAAACGGUCGCUCAGCGACCAUUUGCGUCGCGCCGCUGGAGAUGCCCUCAAUCUGCAGGGAUAUUGUGGUUAAAUAAAACGGUGGAACGAAGGGAAAGUCUGGCCAGUUUGAGAAAAAUACAUGGAUUUCAACUUGGCAUCUCAACUUAGAUGUCAUCAUACAGUUGUAAUGUUCCGAGUGGUUUCAGGAACAUCCUUGCAUUUUCUUCCAAUUUGUGAACAAUGAAGAAUACAAUCGUGCAGACCUGUACUGUUCUUUUUCUUUUUACUACAGUGAGAGGUGUUUAUGCCGAUUCAGUUGGACUGUUUGUGCUUCGUCAUUACAGAUCCCUGGUGGUGUCCCUUGCAGAUUUUGUAAUUGACCUUUUCUGAUUAGCAGAUUAUUUUUCACCAUCUGUGUUGUCCUUUUACAUGAAGAAUUCAGUAUUUUGGAGCUUGAGAGAUGAACAAGAAGUUUAGAGGCAACAAUACUGAAUAUAUCUAUUGUAGCCCCGUUGAGCGAUCAACCUGGCCUCUUUCUUUACAGCAGGUUUCUGUUACCAUUGUUUUCAUUGAGGUUUGCACUCCACCAAUCUAUUUACUGGGCACAGAUAAAUCUAUUCUGAAGUGUGGAUAGAUAUCACACUCUUCUUCUUCCUUUUCUGAUACAUGGGUGCUUCCGAUUGAAGUACUCAUUUGUUUCUUUGAGUAUCCAUCAGUUAUUUCGACCUUCUGUGAUCUCCGUGUUUACAAUUUGAUGUCAGUUCUGUAGCACGUACAGAGAUUAUGUUUGUAGGCUACUCAUGCUGAUGAUUGAUGCUGUGGCUGGUUGGUAUUCUUCUGGUCGUCAUCGGGUCGCCUCUCCUUCUGGUUUGCGUGCUCUGCCUCGACGUUUGAAGACUUAUAUCCGGAUCAGAUACUCUUCUGGCCGUCGGUGCAUGCGAUGUUGUACAACUGCUCCAUGAAACGCGCACCUCAGCGUGCCAUUAAAACAGUAUACAUAAAGGUUAAGCGUUUUAGUGUCAGAUGAAGGAAUUGGAUAGCUCCUACAGGUUCGUCGUUUCAAGUGUGGAUAUUUCUUAAGUGCGUCUAUUUCAGUCUCCAGAAUUUGGCAGAUAGUCUUAUCCUUAUAGUGAUCUUGCUGAAUUUUGAAAGAGAUAAAGAUUGGAAAUUACUUGUGCUGAAUUUUUAUUCUCGACAGUGAAGGAGUAGUAUACAUGUAAAGGUAACUCAAAGGAUCACACGUGAACUUCAUAAUUUUGUUGGCAGUUUCAAGAAAAGCAACCUACAUCUCAAUUGGGACCUUCCGAUUUUCAAUAUAGACUUCAAGUAUUUUGUUGUUCUGAGCAGCUCAGCGGACCUCUAACGACAUUUUCGUUCCAUGACUCCAUGAGGCCUCCUUACUCUUUGCAUGUUUUAUGCAGAGUGCAACGAGUUUAGGCUGCACAAGAUGUACAUGCAGAUGUGGUCAUAUUCUCAGAAGUUCAAGCAUAGGAUUUCUUAGCUCUUCUGAUAGAAGCGUAGAUUAACAGAAAAACUACACAGCCUCACUUUCUGUAUAAAAUGUACUGGUUCUUUCUUUUUGCAAUGUAGAAUAGUAGCUAACCAAACCAUUGUGCAUUGCAAGAAGCAUAUAUGCCUCUCGGUUUUUGUUGUAAAAUAGUUAAGCUGGCAGACUAUUUGUUACAUCAAACUACCAAAGGUAGGCACAACGCUGUCAGAUCAGGCGACUACAA